CCUGUCUUUGUGUCAGAGUCUCCAAAGCAAACAUCACAGCAGCUCACUGCCAUCUUUAAACCUUCCCUUUCACUCUUGCUGCUGUCCUUCUGUCACAAAUCAGCCCUGAUGAAGAUGCUCGGGAUCAGGUGAGGAGGAGGAGAAGACUCGCUGUGGUGACGCCUGAAGGGAGCAGCUGACACAAGAAGAGACACAAUCAAAGAUCAUCAUCUAAUAACAGAAGACAAUCUUUUAUUGUGUGUUUCUGAUUGGCUGCUGUAGAAGUGAACAGUUGUACUUUGACCUUUAACCUCUCUGCUCUGUGUUGUUUCCUCUUUCAGACCAGAAAAACAUCACAGCUGAGUCUGGACAGGACGUCACUCUGACAUGUCGAGCUCCAAACAACAACUUCAUAGUUUUAGAGUGGAGCAGAGCUGACCUGAGAGAUAAACAUGUCCUUGUGUACCGGGAUGGUCAAUUUACUCCAGAUGACCAGCAUCCAUCUUUUAAGAACCGGGUGGAUCUGCAGGACAGACAGAUGAAGGAUGGAGACGUGUCUUUGAUUCUGAAGAAUGUGACGAUUAACGAUGCUGGAACAUACAAGUGUGGUGUUGUCCACGAGUUGGAGGACCUGUGACUCUAAUCAACACCACCUACCUUCAUGUUGAUCCUCCAGGUCAGACAGAAGGACAAGAGAAGGAUGAAGACAAGAAAGAUGGAGGAAUUGAAGAAGGGAAGGAGGAUGGAUCUGUUUGGCUGAUCGUUGGUCUGAUCGUUGGUCUUCCUGUACUUGUUCUUGUACCUUCUGUUGUUUUUUUGCUGUUCCUGUUGUGGUUCUUGUUGCAGUUGGUGUUUGUGCACCUUCCUGCUGAUCCACAUGUAGCAGAGCAUCUUCAGCCUCCACAGCAUGAAUACCAGAAAAACAUCCCAGCUGAGUCUGGACAGGACGUCACUCUGACAUGUCGAGCUGUAAAUAAUGAGUCAGAGAAAAUAAGCCAACAGCUUCAUCAGCCUGAGGUUGAUCCAACACAGACUGAGACAUUUCUCUCAGUCUGAUCCUGACACUCUGACAUUUUCCAACGUCGUCUAUGUAACUUCUGCUGCAGCAAUAAUUUUAAAAAUGUAAAUUUUGUAAAUAUUGUAAAGUUUUAUAUUUUUAUGGCUCAUUAGCGGACUUUUGCACAAUUACAUAACUGCUCUUUUAAUCAUGCUUGUUUUUGCUGUUUUUUGGUGACUGUAGAAAUGGUUUAUAUGGACAUUUAUCUUAGAGUCUAAGGUUUCUGUGGAGACCACACAUGUCGAUAUUUGCAUGAACAAAGUCGUGGAUGGUUGCAUACCUCCUGAGCCCCGUCACUGGAACUGUAAAUCUGAGUUUCAGGUAUUUUUAACAUUAUUAUUUGUGUUUAAAAAGUGUAGCUUGUUGUGUUGUAUGUCUGGUCUUGUAUGUGUGUUUGUGUUUCCUGCUGCUCACACACAGCAUUAGAAAAGCCUGAAAACUCAGUGAUCACAGAGUCUAUGAGCUCCAAAUGUUUGCAUGUAGCACAGAGAACAAAGGUCAGUGUGUGAGUGUCUCUGUGUUUGAAAUAAUAAACUACUGGAUUAGUCUGAUCCUGUUAUCAUCCUCUGUUAUUUCAUCAAUGAGUCUCAGUCACUCAUUGUAAAUGACCUCAUUAAUAUUUUCCUUCGUAAAUUGGUUCAUACGUUCAGUUCAGUUCAGUUCAGUUUCAGUUUUCAGUUUUAUUUGUCAUAUGCAAGUUAGCACAGGGUCAACAUUGCAAUGAAAUGUGUUUGACGAGCAGCAGUCACUCAGCAGCAUG